CAUGUACUCUUUUCUUGUGUAAGAUAUGGGCAUGAAAGGCAGAUUCUGUACAGAGAAUUGUCGGACCUGGAGGUCUCUCCCUUUUCCUGUAGAACCAUAUUUGCCGCUGGUGCGCAGGCUCCGCUAGUCUGUCGGGCGGUGCUACGGUUCUUAAAAUCAACUGGGCUGUAUGCCAGACUGUAAGUAGGUGCUAGACCUAGCCUGUGGAGGGCAGCAUUACACUCCCCAGUGUACAGCCUGCCGGAAUCCCAUUAGAAGAAGAAGAAGAAUUGUAUCAGGUGAAGCUCGUGAUGGUCGUGACCGAAGUGCUAAGAGACUGCUAGAAGAGUGCCUUUGGAUUGUAUUUUAUUUUAUUUUUCCUCCGGACAUCGCUCACGGGAGUCUAUGCCUGGACCAGCAGACGGGGAUUUCGCCGCCAUCUUAGGACACGGGGUUUGUUUCCUCCUCUUCCAGUGAACUUGGACCACGCACUGAACUACUUAAACCGGUACUGUUUAUUUUGUCUGCUCAUAGCGUGAAGCAUCCGUUAAGUUUGGACCCCAUCGCUCCCAAGCAUCGCUCAGGCCUGCAACUAUAAGGUUUCUAUGGUUAAAUAAGCCGGCUGGUGUGAGUGUGUGUGUGAUUGGUGAGUGGGCCCCUCACAUAGUUUAUUACAGUAUAAAAUCUAAGAGCAGAUGUGAAUAUUGUUUGCUUACAUGUUAAGUAAAUUCUAAGUUUGCAUUUAACUUACUGUUUGGUCAUUUUGCCUGUUUUUAAGUGUGUGUGUGUGUCUGUGAUCGGUUCACUGAGAGUGUUAAAGGUGUAGUAAGUAAUAUAACACUUUAAAGAGUACAUAGGUAGGACUUAAGAGGCAGUAAAUUAAAUAAAGUAGUUGACCUAUAUUAGUCUCUAAUAUUACAUAGAAAACCUAGGAAGCCCUUACCUAGAACAGUGGGUAGAGGUGGGCUACAUUAAGUUGACCUCUUUUAUAGGCCUAGUUCUUAUAAUUUUGGUUUGUGAAUUUGGUUUGCCUAAUUUGGGGUAAAAUAAAAACCCACUUCUCUUUAAAACUUA